GUGAGGAAUAUUGGUCAAUGGGCGGGAGCCUGAACCAGCCAAGUCCCGUGAAGGAAGAAGGAUCUAUGGUUCGUAAACUUCUUUUGCAGGGGAAUAAAGUGCAGGACGUGUCCUGUUUCGUAUGUACCCUGAGAAUAAGGAUCGGCUAACUCCGUGCCAGCAGCCGCGGUAAUACGGAGGAUCCGAGCGUUAUCCGGAUUUAUUGGGUUUAAAGGGUGCGUAGGUGGUUUGAUAAGUCAGCGGUGAAAGUUUGCAGCUUAACUGUAAAAAUGCCGUUGAAGCUGUAGGACUUGAGUGUAAAGGAUGUAGGCGGAAUGCGUGGUGUAGCUGUGAAAUGCAUAGAUAUCACGCAGAACUCCGAUGGCGAAGGCAGCUUACUAAGCUACAACUGACACUGAAGCACGAAAGCGUGGGGAUCAAACAGGAUUAGAAACCCGGGUAGUCC
rnacentral:rRNA from 1 species